UGCCUUAGGGUGGGAUUCCUCUGGUUGGU
rnacentral:piRNA from 1 species